rnacentral:rRNA from 1 species
UUGAUCCUGGCUCAGAUUGUAUCGCUGGCGGCAUGCCCUUACUCAUGGCAAGUCGAAUCGGCAGGCACCGGGGGCAAUCCCUGGUGGCGAGUGGCGAACGGGUGAGUAAUACAUCGGAAUCGUGUCCUGUAGUGGGGGAUAGCCCGGCGAAAGCCGGAUUAAUACCGCAUACGAUCCUACGGAAGAAAGCGGGGGAUCCGACAAGAGCCUCCGCGCUAUAGGGGCGGCCGAUGGCAGAUUAGCUAGUUGGUGGGGUAAAGGCCUACCAAGGCGACGAUCCUGUAGCUGGUCCUGAGAGGACGACCAGCCACACUGGGACUGAGUACACGGCCCAGAUCCCUUACGGGAGGCAGCAGUGGGGAAUUUUGGACAAUGGGGGAAACCCUGAUCCAGCAAUGCCGCGUGUGUGAAGAAGGCCUUCGGGUUGUAAAGCACUUUUGUCCGGAAAGAAAACUUCUGCCCUAAUACGGUGGGAGGAUGACGGUACCGGAAGAAUAAGCACCG